AGGUGCCUUCAUGUGCUCAAUCAGUUAUUGGGUCAUGGUGAAGUCACAAUACAAGUCAAGUCAGUUCCUUAGUUACCCUCAUGGGCCACAGGUACAGUUGGCAUCAGUUGGUCCAGACUGUUAGAGGCAAAGUCUGAAAAAUAUCUCAAAGACCAGUCUUAGGUUUCACAGUAAUGUUAGUGACUGCUGGUUACUAUGGAAAGCAAGCUGGGAAACAAUGGACACAAUUGGAGACACAGGUUCUUUUAUCAAGGCCUUGACUGGAGUGGCAUGUUUUCAGAUAUGACCACAUUGCUUUGAGGAAAUGAGGUUGAUGUUGUAGAGCUGAUAAAGCCCCCACACAAAGGCCAGCCUACCUCUGGAAACCACAUAAAGAUGAGCUUUGUUAAAAUGACAGAGUAACAAAGAGAAAAAGACAAUAUGGAACCCAAGAAAUGGGAGGAUCCAACACAGAAUAGAGGUGAAAGGAACUCCCCAACUGCCGAUGACCAGGACAACCCCUGUGCAAUGUCCUGGGGAGCAGCUUGUCCACGCUGGAGCAAGAUGAUGGAGUGCUCUGUCAGGGGGUCUCCAGAGAGCACUGGAGUGACUUCAUUUUACACAGCUUCUGGAAGAUGCAGGCAGACUCAGAGUCAAAGAAAAGUAGGCAAAUGAAAAAUCAAUGAGAUCAGGAUCCUAAAUGUCCUUAAUCGAAGGCCUGAAUGUGAGUACAGAGCCUGAGAUGAGAACAUAAAGCAUGGGAGAACAAGGGCCUCUGAAGAAGAAGAAGAAAAGAAGACAUAAAGUAUAAACAAAACUCCAGUUUCCCAAUGUAAAUGUAUUAAAAUAUAAAAGGAAACAUACCAAAAUUUAAUUAAUUAAUUAUAGGAGCUAGUGAUGCAACAAUAGAAAACAUACCAAAAUAUUAUUUGGUUAUGUUUGGUGAAUAGAAUAUUUUCUUAUUUCCAAAUUUUUUAUAAUGAACAAGUUUUCUUUUUAUAAUAAGGGAAAAAUACUAUUUGAACAAAAAAUAAUACUGGGAUGUUUUCUGCAUUUAACUACCCUGUGUAUUCUUAGGCUAAUAUGGUAUCAUAUAUAAAAAAAUGCUCAAUAGUAGAAUAAUUUCAUAAUGUUGAGUAACUCCACAGAUCCUCCCAAGUUUUCAAGAAUUUAUUGAAAGUCAGCUCUUGCUUAUCUGUGGAGUGGGAAGAGUAUCACAAAAGAAUCUUAACACCUAGGCUAGCUUGUUUUUUUUUUUUUUUUU